rnacentral:rRNA from 1 species
UACCAGCACCCCGAGUGGUCGGGCCUAUUAUUGGGCCUAAAGCAUCCGUAGCCGGUUCUACAAGUCUUCCGUUAAAUCCACCUGCUUAACAGAUGGGCUGCGGAGGAUACUAUGGAGCUAGGAGGCGGGAGAGGCAAGCGGUACUUAGUGGGUAGGGGUAAAAUCCGUUGAUCCAUUGAAGACCACCAGUGGCGAAGGCGGCUUGCCAGAACGCACUCGACGGUGAGGGAUGAAAGCUGGGGGAGCAAACCGG